GCAUUUUUUAUUUGCUCUCUUCUUAUCUUGUGCUAAGUGUGUGCAUACAGUUGCUAACUCAUUUGUACAUAACUGUAUCUAAAGCUAAGCUGGAGUGAUUACAGUCUACUGCUAGAGCUCUGAUUUGCUGUUAACUAUUUAGUGUUCAUUUGUUUUUUGUAUUCGUAUUUUGUAGCAGUUUGUUUUUGCUAUUGUUAGAAAAUUUAUUCAGACUAAAAAUUUUAUUCGUACGAAUAUUUACCACCGUUUACUGCGUUUGUUUUGUUGUGUGUAUCAUUUAUUAUGCUCAUUGUUGCCGCUCUCUACCUAGCAGAUUCCACACCAUUGGUUGAGCGCGACGAGGUCAGACAUGUGGUGAACAGCAACUCGAUAUAAUACUUCAGUUGUUAAUUAAACGCCGAAGUUAAAGGGUCUCUGUGGGUAAGUUUUAGUGACACUGCGUCAUUCUGCGCAAUGCCGUCGCAAACUAUUGCGGAUAUUACAGAAGUAUCCACAUCCAGGGUUAGAUGUUGAAGCUGCUACCACAUCAACAACUUUUAGUUCAGUAAAAGGUGAUUUUCGACUAGCCUGUGUCGAGUUUAAUAUCCAAUAAUAUUAAAAAAUAACUAAAAUUAUUAUAAACAUCGGAAACACUAAUAAACGUUUCCUGCAAAUAGAAAAAAUCGUUUAAACAGCACAAAAUAGAAUUAUAGGCAAUAAAACGGAUACUGAAAUUUGAGAACUAAUGCUCAACGGGAAACGCCUUGCUGUACCUAUGAACGAAACUAAAUAACCAGAUCAAUGGUGCUAAAGUCAUAAAAUUGGCAACGUUUAACCUACUUUACUGCUGAAACAACAAAUAAGCAAAAGGAACAACGACAAACAUUUUAAACGCCGGCGGAGUCCUAAGUCGUCGGAAAACCCGCUGGUAUUGGAAAAUUAGAAAGAAUUUCAAUGCAGCCUUUUUAUCUUUAUCUCCUUCUUGCUGUGCCGCUACGCUCUGCAUGUUGUAAUGAUUUAUUUUAUACAACUGCUGGCUCCGAACCAUGUGGGCUCAGCUCGAUUUUCAUUGGAACCGAACUAAUGACAACGGGUGGCUUUGUAAUACGGAUCUUAUGAAUACUGAGAAACAGCCUUUAUGCUUUCAUAACAUAAAACUUCACACAUAUCUACGUUUUUCAAUUUGCUGCUUUCUGUGCACUGGGACAUUAGUCAGCAGUAUUAGUUCCCCAAAUCACCUUAACAUUGAUGAUCAUUCCUUAAAGCCGUGACAAGAAGAUAUACCCGCAUACUUGGUUUUUUAUUAACAAUUUCCCAAAAAUUUACUUUUUAUUGACAAAUUAAUUUUAUUAAAGAUAAUAAUUCUCGAAGAAGGAAAUAAACGUUAUACCUAUGUCUGACAAAUAUUUAAAA